rnacentral:tRNA from 1 species
CGGGGCGUAGCGCAGCUUGGAAGCGCACUUGGUUUGGGACCAAGGGGUCGUGGGUUCAAAUCCCUCCGCCCCGA